rnacentral:rRNA from 1 species
CUGGCCUACGGGACGCAGCAGUGAGGAAUAUUGGUCAAUGGGAGAGAUCCUGAACCAGCCAAGCCGCGUGAGGGAAGACGGCCCUAUGGGUUGUAAACCUCUUUUGUCGGAGAACAAAACCCGGGACGUGUCCCGGACUGCGUGUAUCCGAAGAAAAAGCAUCGGCUAACUACGUGCCAGCAGCCGCGGUAAUACGUAGGGGGCAAGCGUUAUCCGGAAUUACUGGGUGUAAAGGGAGCGUAGACGGUUAAGUAAGUCUGGAGUGAAAGACCGGGGCCCAACCCCGGGACUGCUCUGGAAACUAU